CAAAAAGUGUGGCGCUCGUUUCGCCCGCCACACUCGCCGCGGCGCGCCAACUGAGCCGCAAAAAUCCCCGCGAAAGAUAAAAGUCACCGCUUUCCUGUUCGUCUUCAGUCCAAAAAUCCCCCACCCCUUCAGUCUUGACCCCAUGGCUGAGAGCCCUUCUCUCUCCCCUUCCAGAUCCAGCUGAGGAAGUCCUUGCCGCCGCACUCGAUCUGCUCCUCCUGAUCUGGGCGUCCUUGAUUUUCUCAAGAGAAAAAUAUCAACUUUCUUCUGUGAUUUGUGGGAUUUCCCGUUGCUUGUUCCUGUCCUUGUUGCAUCCAGACUAGGAACUUCCAUCUCAUAGUGAAAGGUCAACUAUUUGUUAAGAGGAAAGGUGGUGAUAAUUCAUCAUCUAGCACUACCCGAGUUGGUAAGAAGCGCCCAAAAGGUAGCAGGUCACCUACUAAGAAGCCACCAAAAACCAAGAGUCGUUUUGUGGAGUCCGCUGAAGAAAUCAACUCUACAUUGAGGUCACUCCAGCAAUCCCUUGCUGCCGUUCCUCCUCCAAUGCCCCAAGUUGUUGAUCCUUAUGCUAGUUUAUGGAAGAGGUUGGAGGAACUCCCAAUUACCACAGAUCAAAGAAUUACUGUUGGUGUGCACUUAUCUUGCAAGGACAAUGAAGGUUUGCGUGGUUGGUUAUGCAGUGCAAGUGACAAAAUUUUUGAAACUUGGGUUUGCAAGUUCUUUGCUGACAAAGAUCAUGUUUAUAGCAACCUGUGAAGUUAUCUAGUUGCUAACUUGUCAUGUCUAGAAGUUGGCAACUUGUGAAGUUUAGAAGAUGGCAACUUUUGGUAUUUAGGAGAUGAACUUGUGCUACGGCUACUGCUUUUGGAAAGUAGAUCUUUUGAUGUGUGGUGAAACACUUUAAUGUAACUUGGCCAGAACUUGUGCUAUUGCUAUGACUAUCACUUGACUUUAUAAUGAUGGACGGAA